UACGAAGGGGGCUAGCGUUGCUCGGAAUUACUGGGCGUAAAGGGCGCGUAGGCGGAUAGUUUAGUCAGAGGUAAAAGCCCAGGGCUCAACCUUGGAACUGCCUUUGAUACUGGCUAUCUUGAGUUCGGGAGAGGUGAGUGGAAUGCCGAGUGUAGAGGUGAAAUUCGUAGAUAUUCGGCGGAACACCAGUGGCGAAGGCGACUCACUGGCCCGAUACUGACCGCU
rnacentral:rRNA from 1 species